GUAGGUGGCAAGCGUUGUCCGGAAUUAUUGGGCGUAAAGCGCGCGCAGGCGGUUCUUUAAGUCUGAUGUGAAAGCCCGCGGGCUCAACCGUGGAGGGUCAUUGGAAACUGGAGAACUUGAGUACAGAAGAGGAAAGCGGAAUUCCACGUGUAGCGGUGAAGUGCGUAGAGAUGUGGAGGAACACCAGUGGCGAAGGCGGCUUUCUGGUCUGUAACUGACGCUGAGGCGCGAAAGCGUGGGGAGCAAACAGGAUUAGAUACCCUGGUAGUCCACGCCGUAAACGAUGAGUGCUAAGUGUUAGGGGGUUUCCGCCCCUUAGUGCUGCAGCUAACGCAUUAAGCACUCCGCCUGGGGAGUACGGCCGCAAAGGCUG
rnacentral:rRNA from 1 species